rnacentral:rRNA from 1 species
AGGCCCUGCUUUUGUGGGGUGCUCGAGUGGCGAACGGGUGAGUAACACGUGAGUAACCUGCCCUUGACUUUGGGAUAACUUCAGGAAACUGGGGCUAAUACCGGAUAGGAGCUCCUGCUGCAUGGUGGGGGUUGGAAAGUUUCGGCGGUUGGGGAUGGACUCGCGGCUUAUCAGCUUGUUGGUGGGGUAGUGGCUUACCAAGGCUUUGACGGGUAGCCGGCCUGAGAGGGUGACCGGCCACAUUGGGACUGAGAUACGGCCCAGACUCCUACGGGAGGCAGCAGUGGGGAAUAUUGCACAAUGGGCGGAAGCCUGAUGCAGCAACGCCGCGUGCGGGAUGACGGCCUUCGGGUUGUAAACCGCUUUCGCCUGUGACGAAGCGUGAGUGACGGUAAUGGGUAAAGAAGCACCGGCUAACUACGUGCCAGCAGCCGCGGUGAUACGUAGGGUGCGAGCGUUGUCCGGAUUUAUUGGGCGUAAAGGGCUCGUAGGUGGUUGAUCGCGUCGGAAGUGUAAUCUUGGGGCUUAACCCUGAGCGUGCUUUCGAUACGGGUUGACUUGAGGAAGGUAGGGGAGAAUGGAAUUCCUGGUGGAGCGGUGGAAUGCGCAGAUAUCAGGAGGAACACCAGUGGCGAAGGCGGUUCUCUGGGCCUUUCCUGACGCUGAGGAGCGAAAGCGUGGGGAGCGAACAGGCUUAGAUACCCUGGUAGUCCACGCUGUAAACGGUGGGUACUAGGUGUGGGGUCCAUUCCACGGGUUCCGUG